rnacentral:rRNA from 1 species
GACGAACGCUGGCGGCGUGCUUAACACAUGCAAGUCGAACGGAAAGGCCCUGCUUUUGUGGGGUGCUCGAGCGGCGAACGGGUGAGUAACACGUGAGUAACCUACCCUUGACUUUGGGAUAACUUCAGGAAACUGGGGCUAAUACCGGAUAGGAGCUCCUGCUGCAUGGUGGGGGUUGGAAAGUUUCGGCGGUUGGGGAUGGACUCGCGGCUUAUCAGCUUGUUGGUGGGGUAGUGGCUUACCAAGGCUUUGACGGGUAGCCGGCCUGAGAGGGUGACCGGCCACAUUGGGACUGAGAUACGGCCCAGACUCCUACGGGAGGCAGCAGUGGGGAAUAUUGCACAAUGGGCGGAAGCCUGAUGCAGCAACGCCGCGUGCGGGAUGACGGCUUUCGGGUUGUAAACCGCUUUCGCCUGUGACGAAGCGUGAGUGACGGUAAUGGGUAAAGAAGCACCGGCUAACUACGUG